ensembl:misc_RNA Y_RNA Y RNA
GGCUGGUCCGAUGGCAGUGGGUUAUCAGAACUUAUUAACAUUAGUGUCACUAAAGUUGGUAUACCACCCCCCCACUGCUAAAUUUGACUGGAUUUUA